rnacentral:rRNA from 1 species
CCUACGGGAGGCAGCAGUGAGGAAUAUUGGUCAAUGGACGCAAGUCUGAACCAGUCAUGCCGCGUGCAGGAAGACGGCUCUAUGAGUUGUAAACUGCUUUUGUACGAGGGUAAACGCAGAUACGCGUAUCUGUCUGAAAGUAUCGUACGAAUAAGGAUCGGCUAACUCCGUGCCAGCCGCCGCGGUAAUACGGAGGAUUCAAGCGUUAUCCAGAUUUAUUGGGUUUAAAGGGUGCGUAGGCGGUCUGAUAAGUUAGAGGUGAAAUCCCGAGGCUCAACUUCGGAAUUGCCUCUGAUACUGUUCGGCUAGAGAGUAGUUGCGGUAGGCGGAAUGUAUGGUGUAGCGGUGAAAUGCUUAGAGAUCAUACAGAACACCGAUUGCGAAGGCAGCUUACCAAGCUACUUCUGACGUUGAGGCACGAAAGCGUGGGGAGCAAACAGGAUUAGAUACCCGAGUAGUC